rnacentral:rRNA from 1 species
AUUGAACGCUGGCGGCAGGCCUAACACAUGCAAGUCGAGCGGAUGAAGGGAGCUUGCUCCUGGAUUCAGCGGCGGACGGGUGAGUAAUGCCUAGGAAUCUGCCUGAUAGUGGGGGAUAACGUCCGGAAACGGGCGCUAAUACCGCAUACGUCCUGAGGGAGAAAGUGGUGGAUCUUCGGACCUCACGCUAUCAGAUGAGCCUAGGUCGGAUUAGCUAGUUGGUGGGGUAAAGGCCUACCAAGGCGACGAUCCGUAACUGGUCUGAGAGGAUGAUCAGUCACACUGGAACUGAGACACGGUCCAGACUCCUACGGGAGGCAGCAGUGGGGAAUAUUGGACAAUGGGCGAAAGCCUGAUCCAGCCAUGCCGCGUGUGUGAAGAAGGUCUUCGGAUUGUAAAGCACUUUAAGUUGGGAGGAAGGGCAGUAAGUUAAUACCUUGCUGUUUUGACGUUACCAACAGAAUAAGCACCGGCUAACUUCGUG